rnacentral:rRNA from 1 species
UACGUAGGCAGCAAGCGUUGAUCGGAAUUACUGGGCGUAAAGCGUGUGUAGGUGGUGUCGUAAGUUUGAUGUGAAAUCUCCCGGCUUAACUGGGGAGGUGCGUCGAAGACUGCGAUGCUCGAGUCUUGGAGAGGGGAGCAGAAUUCCAGGUGUAGCGGUGAAAUGCGUAGAUAUCAGGAGGAACACCUGUGGUGAAGACGGCUUUCUGGACCAUUACUGACACUGAGACACGAAAGCGUGGGUAGCAAACAGG